UAAUACGAAGGGGGCUAGCGUUGUUCGGAAUCACUGGGCGUAAAGCGCGCGUAGGCGGAUUGAUAAGUUAGGGGUGAAAUCCCGAGGCUCAACCUCGGAACUGCCUUUGAUACUGUCAGUCUUGAGUUCGAGAGAGGUGAGUGGAACUCCGAGUGUAGAGGUGAAAUUCGUAGAUAUUCGGAAGAACACCAGUGGCGAAGGCGGCUCACUGGCUCGAUACUGACGCUGAGGUGCGAAAGCGUGGGGAGCAAACGGGAUUAGAUACCCUGGUAGUCCACGCCGUAAACGAUGGAAGCUAGUUGUCAGGCAGCAUGCUGUUUGGUGACGCAGUUAACGCAUUAAGCUUCCCGCCUGGGGAGUACGGUCGCAAGAUUA
rnacentral:rRNA from 1 species